GCAGAGCCCGGUGUUCCUAUUCUCCUCUACAUGCAAGUUCUGACAGAGGAGAAGCAGUAUGAAGGACAGGCGGGUGGAAGUACUCAUGGCCAAAGGUAAAGAAUAGCAAAGGUGCGGCAUCGCCAGCAAGUCUCGAUCCUGGCCGGCUAGCGUUGGGGUGACCGUCUAUUACCGGCGCCGGCACGACGGCUGCGGCGGCCACAAGUGUGGUCAGUGCGCUGCGGGUCUGUGGGGUUUAAAUCUUUACAACUGCUGACAGAUGUCUUGGGUCACUACAGCAACUGUCAGCUAUAACAGCACUAACGCAGACCAAGUACUCUGCGUACAAUACACUCGAUCUACUCCUAAAGUCACGCACUAAAACGUUCGAUAAACCACUACGAAGCUCUCAUCAUCAUGUAUCAUUUAGACCAGGUGUUGGUGUUCCUUCAGGGUAAGGAACAUCAUAGUAGACGCUCUCCCACCUGCUGUAGUAACAGCGGCAAGUUGCGGGUUUUCUGCGGCCGUUAGCCAGGCGGAGCCUCGCCACAGGCAGUACUGGGUCGUGGCUGCACUGAGACAUAACAAGAGAAAACAAAUGACUAGUGUUCUCCAGCCGCCUCAGUAAGGUGAGCUGAGAUCGAUACUCCCUCCCCGGUGGGGUAGGGGAGUAGUCUGGCCCAGCCCCCGCCGCCAUGUCUGGCUCAUUCUGACUCAUCCUCUCCGCCACCUCAACGCUGUUUUGGUAUAUAAGCGACCAGCAAGCGGGCAAGGGACCAGUGGAGCCUCGACCGUGUUCAAAGAAUAUAAGAAAUUUGCAGACUAUACCAGAAGCCGAACUGGAAGUGUGUGAAGGGCGGGACGCGAAGGGAGAGAAGGGGCGAGGGGGGGCAGACGGAGGGAGGUCGAUGACCCGCCCGUCUAACAUAAGUGCCGGUUUUGACUAUUUCCCCCGAAAAUGAAUUUUACCACCCACGACGCCCUUGAGACUCAGUGCUGUGGUGACGGAUAAGGAUCCCUGUGAAGAUAAACAGUAGACAGAAAGUACAUGGAAAGUAACAGAAGAGAUACAGUAAGUGGGGCUAAAGUGACGGCGAGUGGCUGCGGCCCCGACCGUCAGUGGGUCCCGGCCAGCCAGCCGCGCCGCCACUUCCUCGCCGGGCGCCGCGCAGAGCACACCCUCGCUGCCGGCCGCGCCACCCACCACGCCCUUCUGUCUCGCACGUCUCAGCGCCUCAGGGCGUCUUUAAGGUGCUGCUCAGUCUGUGAGGCCUCCUGCUACCUUGCAAACCAGACACUCAUGGAAAAGGAGGCGCCCUCCAAGACUAUAUUUAGCUGGCCACGAGGCAGCUGACCUGGCCAGUGGCGACCCGUUACGUGACGGUGCCUCCCGUCCCGUCCACCAGCCUCCGCACUGCACCAGCUGCUGCUGCUGCUGCUGCUGCUGACCCGGCCACCACCCUACUCAUCCACUACGCUGCCAUGGUGCCACAGUGCCACGUGCCGGUACGACCUCCCGCAAGCCGCCACGACCUCACCUCAGUCCCAGUAAGCUUCCAUCGUUCCAACCUAUCCGCUGAAGUGAUGUCUGUGGAACCAACUUUUAUUCACCCACAUUCCCACAUCCUUCGGCAACCAGCGUGACGUGACGUCUGGGAGCAGGCGCGACGGUGCCAUCAGCUGGGCGGGUGAGGGGGAGGAGGGGGCGGCACUAGGUAACAGUGAGGCCGGCAGCAGGGAGGCCUGUCUCGCUCAGCAACCAUUUCCCUCAAGCCGUCAUCUUCCCUACCCAGGAAUCAGCAGUACCUCUACAGGUGAUACGUCCUGUCCCGUCUCCAUCCUCGCUCGUCCUCCAUAACUUUCGCCCCCUGUUCCACGUCCCCUUCCCCUAUUCAGUGUGCCAGUGGACACCUUCCUUUACCCAUCCGAAGAAGGACAUCAGCCCGCAAUUUGGCAUGCCACGUGGCUGUCGGCUUCGCUGCUCGCACCUCCUCCUUACUGGAAGUGAAAGUUGGUCAGCCAAGGUUCUCAGCGAGGUCAGUGCAGCUUGCACCUGCCCGACCUCGCACGCCCCGCCGCCACCAAAGCGGCCCUUGGACCCCACAAAGUGAUGAAGAGUGAACAGUGAACACGGGAGUGUGAUGAUGGACACGGUGAAGGGAGGAGGACACAGUCAUUACCCUCAAGGCGGAGGGAAUCAUGGCGCCACUGGAAGGAAUGUGUUGACAUACUCUUGUGUCGCCUCGUUCAAGGGCAACUUGUGUUACGGCGCCAGUAAGCCUUCGCCCGCUGACAAGAUGCUCUAGAGGACAUGCUUUACUCUCAUCACGUGAAACCUGGCGGAAGUUACGUCAUCGCAAACAAUGGCCGUCAUGAACCCAACCUCUCACUGGACGCAGCUUCGACAGCGUCAUGAGAACGCUGCUUUCCAAUUGGUGCAGACACCACGAUGACGUAACGAAGACCCUCCUGAUUGGCCAGCAGUGAGCUGUGGCUGGUGACGUGGUAGCAGAGCAGAGCUGUGGUUGGUGGAUGCUUUGGCUGCCAGACCCAGCCAGGCCACUGUCGUGCUCACAUGGCUGGGAAUGGAAACCCCUCUCGCCUCCAGUCUGGAGGCUUCUCAUCAGCUGUUCGCAAGGGCGGAGCUACAACGGAGGGCCGCGGCCCGGCCUCUGCUCCCUCACAGCCCAGUACAGGGCCACAUCGAGACUUAUUCCUCGCCCGCUGAGGCACAGUAUGACUGUGGGCACUCAAUACUGAGGGAGUGUGCUGCGAUCAAGACAUAAUAGCCUCUAUGUUGCUUGCCCAUUGGGAUCAGUGAAAGUUCAGCCGGCGACACCUUGACAUCAGCUGCUGCCGGCCGGCUUGUCUUCGCAAGGUGAGUAGAACAUUCUAGGGCCAAGUGCUGCCUCUCCCCUUUUACCCUCGAGCUGCCACCCAUACCCCGUGUGCCCCUCACCUGCCUCUCCACCAGGACGCCGCCGUGCUGGCCUAAACCUCCUGGAAGUGUUAGACAAGGACACACCUGGCGCGCCUCCCAUGAUCACGUGUUAGUAAAUUUCUCAUUAGUUAUUCAUUAUUCGUUCCCUUGGCAACCAAAAUAAGGAUGAAGAUUUACUGUGUGAAGAGAACUGGCUGUGUACGUGUGGUAGCGCGACACACUGCACGGGACUCUGACAGUGGUGCCUCGAAAGUUAUAGUGUGAGAAACAUUACCAUCGAGAGAAUGUCUAGUUUUCCCAAUACCAAAUGGAAUCCAUUUAACUCAGAGGCCGGAGCGUUGGCAUGCCUGGACUGCUGUAAGGGAUGCGGGAUCCAAGGACGGAUAAGGAUGUGUGCUUUUUUUGUGAUGCGUUGAGGGAUGGUGUACUGGAGGGGACGGCGGUGGUGGUAGUGGUGGCGGUGGCCAGGGGUGUAGUGGUGGUAGUGGUGAUGGUAGUAGUGGUGGUGGCGGCAAGUGUCUUGUACUGUAGUGUGAAGGGGACGUGUGGUGUGGUGGCGGCCUGGGAUGGUGGUGAGUGGCAAGGUGUGGCUGGUGUGGAGGCGGUGGUGAUGGUUAGUGGGCAGUGAAGUGGCGCAGUGGCCAUAUACGAGGGUGAGGGAGGCGACAGGCAGACGUGGCCGGGGACACCAGCUCGUCUUCAAAAGUGUGUGUUGCAGCUUAGCCUCUCGGAAACUUUAGUUCUCAGUUCAAGUGACUUUUUCCUUCCUGACCAAUGCAUGCCCCUCUAUCAUAUCCCCCUACCCAGCCAUUCUUUCUGCUGCCGCUACUCCCUGCUGCUUGGGUGUGCUGAUUCGCCACAGUGACAAACAGUGCCAAUGAUUAGACCACUUGAGGAGAGGCGAGGCGAGUGGGAAUUUUAUUGACGUGGGAUAAGUGUAGCGAGUCACAGGAGAGCCACACGUCUGAAGUGAUCGCUCCCUUGACAUCUCUGGCAGCUGAUUAAGGAGGUGAUUUCCCUUAGAGUCUCCCGUCAUGUGCUGGACUUCGGGAGCAAGUCAGGCGAAUCUCCGGUGCAGACGUGCUGAUCACUCAAGUCAGCUGAUUAUUGGGGCCCUGUGUGCUGAGUCGCCAGCCGCGGUGUAUCGAUGCGCCGUGGGAGUGGAGGCUUGAGUCACCUUUCAGAGUGUCUGGGAGUCGGUGCACAGUGGUCACAUGAUGGUGAGGUGAUGAAUUAUGGCUUUGUGGUGACGUAGACUUUAUAGCAAGAUUUUUCUCUCUCUCUCUCUCUCUCUCUCUCUCUCUCUCUCUCUCUCUCUCUCUCUCUCUCUCUCUCUCUCUCUCUCUCUCUCUCUCUCUCUCUCUCUCUCUCUCUCUCCGAUCCUUCUCUAGCUGAGCGCAUGUUUUACUUAAUAUCUAAAUAUUAUACUUCACAUUGCCACAGAAACCGUCUUUUCCACAUCACAGCACAUUCCCUUCUAACUUUCUCUUCUCCCUCCCCUUCAUCCGUCCCUCUCUCCCUCCCUCAGUACUCACUCGUCGUCUAGCUCAUACACCACUAAUCCCUCCUCUCUCUCUCUCUCUCUCUCUCUCUCUCUCUCUCUCUCUCUCUCUCUCUCUCUCUCUCUCUCUCUCUCUCUCUCUCGUCUGCCAAAUCAUCACGGCUUCACCCAGUUUCAAAACAGUGUCUCCCUUUGCAUCAUAAUACUGAAAAAUACCUCAUAGCAAGGGAUUAAAAGACGAGGAGGGCUGUGGAAGAUUUCCUCGAUAGGUAAUUAUGCUGUGGGAGUUAGAUCUGAUUUAGGCCUCAGCGGGGCAGACAGGAUAUGGGAGGAGGUGGUCUCAAGAUGGGGGUCUGGGAACGGCCACCACAAGUCCACCGUGAGUAGAAACAGUGAUGUGAGGAUAAGUGCAUUCUUUGUCUGAAACUUGACUAUUGGAGAGGCUUUGAUGCUGUCUCUCUCUCUCUCUCUCUCUCUCUCUCUCUCUCUCUCUCUCUCUCUCUCUCUCUCUCUCUCUCUCUCUCUCUCUCUCU